AGCAAAAAGCUAUGGAUUCCUUAAAAAUUAAUGAAGAUCAGAUUUGAUAGGGGAAGACCUCCUGAAAAUCAUGGCUGCAGGCAUGAAGGAAGAAACCAAGAAGAACUACAGGACAGAGCCAGAUACCUUCAUUCAGUAACUGAUGGAAGCAGAUGCAGAGAUCCACAGCCAAGCACCAGAUUGAACUCCAGGAGUCCAUUUGAAGAGAGGGAAGAGGAACUAUAUGAGCAAGAAUAUUCAAAUGUGAAAUCUAUGUGAAUUUUCUACUACUGUUUAUCAUUGAUGGAGUGGCACUGAAAAUAAGGCUAGUUCUCAAACUCAGCACCUUAAAAUUCUGACACUCUCACCUACUCAGCAUAUGUCAACCAGUAAGGAUUUUACUAUUUUUAAGCCAUUUCUUACAUAGUUUUGUGAGAUCUUCUAUAUAGGUAAGUAGAAACAUUGAUUUGAGAGUGGGGUGUGUGUGUGUGUGUGUGUACACAUGUAUGCCCAUGUGCAUAUGCACACUUCUGCUCUGACUCCUAUUCUUCCUGCUCUUCAUUCUUGUCCAUAUUCCAAGUAUGCAAUAUGUGUCCUUAAAAUACUCCUAACAUCCGAGGGAGCAGUUAUUCUUUAUGCUCCAGUGACUCAUUAUCCUUGAUAUUUGACAUUUACAUUUUAAGUCAACAGUUUUCUGAUUGUGAAUUAGCCAGUUUCUCACUAAUUAGCAGCUGUGUUCUGACAACAUUGAUUUGGAAUUAGAAAGUUGUGAGCAAUAGAGUAAGACAGUAAUGUAAGGGAGAUAUGCAUGUCAGGUUAUUUUAAUUUAUUCUCAGGAGUUAACCUUUCUGAAUAGCAUAUUGCCACAACAUCUCUCCACUUCCCAGCAGUGACUGGGACAGGAAGAUGAUUGCUAGACCAGACUGAAUAAUUCAGAAACAGUUUUUAAAUGUAUUUUGAAGUAAUAUGUGCCAAAGAUUUUAUAGAGAUUUAAUCUACCCUCAAGUAAAACACUUAAAGUAAAUUAAAAGUAACUGUAAACAUGUAUAAGAAAUACAGACAUGUAUAAUUAUAAAAUGUAUAAUAUCAAAAAUAACAAUUUUAGCAAAUAAUAAAAUAGAAUCAUUUCAUUAUCUAAAUCAAACUAAGGAAAAAAUAGAAUUGAAAUGCAUUAGAAAAUGAACAUAUAUAGAAAUUGGAGAUAGUUAAUGUGUAUAUGUUAACAUUAUCUUAGAAGAUUUUUUUUCAUAAGUAGAAAGACAAAUGGUAAGUGUACUGUUUUAGAUGAAUACUAGUUAUAGGUCAAGCAUAGUCGAUAUUUCAGCGUUAGCUUUUUCUGUCCAGUUCAGACUUAUCAUCACAGAAACUUAUUUCUAAUUAAUUGUUUACUUGCCAUCAAAUGGGGUAUUCUAUUUUGUGGUAGGAUUUCCCUUCUAUUUUUAUUUUCAUUAUAAUUUUAAGUACAUUUUAUUAUAUUUAAAACAAUUUUUGAAUUUAAAUAUUUUUUCAUAUUCUUCUCCUCCCCAAGUCCUUCCAGAUCCACUCCUUCUCCCUACCCACCCAACAUUAAGUUCUUUCUCAAAAGACCUAAUACAACACAACCUAGAAAAAUAAUACCGUACCCAACAAGAAAAAAAAAAAAAAGCAAACGAAACAAAACAAAACAAACCCCAAAACCAAAAACAGAAACUCUCCACAAAAACCCCACUCAAGUUUAACCAAAUAAAAGCACACACACAAAGAAAUCAGUGGAGUCCACUCUUUGUUUGUCAACUAUUCCUAAAUUAGAGAGCUGCCCUGGAGUGGUUGAUACAACCAGUGGGACUCUGAGAUUUGGCUUAUUUGAUGACCUUUUUCCAUAUGCUUUUAUCCUUCUUAACACAUAAGCAUUCUUUCUGUUGGUUUCCAUUUCUUUUGGUGCUCUGAUACUUUCCAAACCACAUGUAUCAUGGAUAGACUUUUAUUUUGGUGGACAGAUCAACCUUAUUGGCCAUGACACUUAGGGCAGUGUCAGCCUGCUUGAACCAUAGUUGUAUUUUCUUCAGAUUCCAACAAUACCGCUUUAGUUCAGAUUUGCUUCCAUUUCUUAGCAUCCCAUGGUCUCCUUUAUGAUUAGAACUAGAUCAGUUGCUGAAGCUGAAGUUCUUGAAACUUACAUUUUUCUUUUUACAUCAACAUGUAGCUAAUCACUCAUGUGACACCAAGAUGUGUGCUCAUUUAUUUUAGCUCUUGAAAUUAUGAAAGCAAAGACAGGAAGGAUUGACUUCUGAAACUCUUGAGGACAGGUUUCUUAUGCUGCUGAUAAACAGAAGUUGUUUGCUGGCAAGGCAAAAGAAGAGAAAGAGUGACCUAUUUUAUGCAGAAUGAUGUUGGUCUGAGUAUGACUUUUAUAUAAGUACUUCAGACACAGCUUUGUACUCGUGAAGAUAAAAGUUGAUGUUUCUGUACCACAAUCUAAUUUAGCCAAGCUUAGAUUGAGUGUUUUGGUUUUAGCCAAGCUAUUCCAUUUCCUAAUAUCACACAAUUGACAGGCAUCAAGGAAAAAAGAAAAUAUUCUCUAUGAUCCUGAAAUGUGCACUGCUUGGUCUCAUUGUGUGGGUCUGACUGACAGGUAGGAUGGAGGGAGGACUGGUCCAGCCAGUCUCUCCCUGAGGCUGAGUGGGAUGGUGAAUGUCAAUGGCCCAGACUUCCCCUGUCCACUGGAGAGAAGUGCACUGAGCUGGGAGCCUUGUCAAAGCAGGAACUCACUUUACUGCAUCAGGAGUGGACUUAUAUAGAUUGGGGUGAUGGCGGGGGCGAGGAUGGGGUGAGGAUAGCGGGCAAAUGAGAUGAUGCCAUCUCAGCAGUUACUAGGCAGAGGCGGUUCUAGGUUGGGUAGAGCUGAGUCGCUCAUAUGCGGAAGUCAUGUCCGAAGACAGGUCACCAAACUUGAACUAGGCUCAGGAAGUUACAUUGGGCCUCAUGCCCGGGCCUUUUGGGGCCCAACAUCUUUGCUCUUUCUUGUUAGGAAGAAGUUGAUUAUUUUGGGCUCUAACAUUUAAAAUAGAUUAUCUCCUAAAUGAAGUUUUUACUACUUUAGAAACUGAUUUUUUCUCUAAUUUAUAGAAAAUAAUUGAUAAUUUUUAUAUGAAGGUAGUAACUAUGUUUUUUUUAAAAUAUGAAGAUUGUGUUGUGGAAUAUUAGUUAAAGAUGUGUUAUGUUCUUUUAUGCUAUGGAAUAUUUGUUUAAUGAUGCAAAGAUGUGUUGCAUUCUUUUAUAUUGCAUUUGUUUAACUCUGUAAAGCUGUGUUACUUUGCCUGUCUAAAACAUGUGCUUGGUGUACUAAAGAGCUGAAUGAUCAAUACCUAGGCAGGAGAUAGAAAUACACAGGUUUGGCAAGCAAAGGGAAUAAAUAAGAGAAGGUAGGAAAAAAAAAAGGAGAAGACAGGACACCAGGGGCCAGCCAACCA